CCUACGGGAGGCAGCAGUGGGGAAUAUUGCACAAUGGGGGAAACCCUGAUGCAGCGACGCCGCGUGAGUGAAGAAGUACUUCGUUAUGUAAAGCUCUAUCAGCAGGGAAGAAAAUGACGGUACCUGAGUAAGAAGCCCCGGCUAACUACGUGCCAGCCGCCGCGGUAAUACGUAGGGGGCAAGCGUUAUCCGGAUUUACUGGGUGUAAAGGGAGCGUAGACGGCAGUGCAAGUCUGGAGUGAAAGGCGGGGGCCCAACCCCCGGACUGCUCUUGAAACUGUACGGCUGGAGUGCAGGAGAGGUAGGUGGAAUUCCUGGUGUAGCGGUGAAAUGCGUAGAUAUUAGGAGGAACACCGGUGGCGAAGGCGGCUUACUGGACUGUAACUGACGUUGAGGCUCGAAAGCGUGGGGAGCAAACAGGAUUAGAUACCCGGGUAGUC
rnacentral:rRNA from 1 species